GAUGAACGCUGGCGGCGUGCCUAAUACAUGCAAGUCGAGCGAACAGACGAGGAGCUUGCUCCUCUGACGUUAGCGGCGGACGGGUGAGUAACACGUGGAUAACCUACCUAUAAGACUGGGAUAACUUCGGGAAACCGGAGCUAAUACCGGAUAAUAUAUUGAACCGCAUGGUUCAAUAGUGAAAGACGGUUUUGCUGUCACUUAUAGAUGGAUCCGCGCCGCAUUAGCUAGUUGGUAAGGUAACGGCUUACCAAGGCAACGAUGCGUAGCCGACCUGAAAGGGUGGUCGGCCACACUGGAACUGAGACACGGUCCAGACUCCUACGGGAGGCAGCAGUAGGGAAUCUUCCGCAAUGGGGGAAAGCUUGACGGAGCAACGCCGCGUGAGUGAUGAAGGUCUUCGGAUCGUAAAACUCUGUUAGUAGGGAAGAACAAAUGUGUAAGUAACUAUGCACGUCUUGACGGUACCUAAUCAGAAAGCCACGGCUAACUACGUG
rnacentral:rRNA from 1 species